rnacentral:rRNA from 1 species
CGCGAAAGCUCCCUUCCGGGGAAGCAAGUAGAGUGGCGCACGGGUGAGUAACACGUAGGUAAUCUACCUUUGGAUGGGGAAUAACCACCGGAAACGGUGGCUAAUACCGCAUAAUGCAGCGGCACCUAAUGGUGACAGUUGUUAAAGCGGGGGAUCGCAAGACCUCGCGUCUGAAGAGGAGCCUGCGGCAGAUUAGCUAGUUGGUAAGGUAAAGGCUUACCAAGGCGAUGAUCUGUAGCCGGCCUGAGAGGGCGGUCGGCCACACUGACACUGACAUACGGGUCAGACUCCUACGGGAGGCAGCAGUCGGGAAUUUUGGGCAAUGGGCGAAAGCCUGACCCAGCAACGCCGCGUGAAGGAUGAAAUCCCUCGGGAUGUAAACUUCGCAAGAACGGGAAGAAUAAGUAAGAGUUAAUAUCUCUUAUGAUGACGGUACUGUUUGUAAGCUCCGGCUAACUCCGUGCCAGCAGCCACGGUAAUACGGGGGGAGCAAGCGUUG